rnacentral:rRNA from 1 species
UCGGGAAUAUUGCGCAAUGGAGGAAACUCUGACGCAGUGACGCCGCGUAUAGGAAGAAGGUUUUCGGAUUGUAAACUAUUGUCGUUAGGGAAGAUACAAGACAGUACCUAAGGAGGAAGCCCCGGCUAACUAUGUGCCAGCAGCCGCGGUAAUACAUAGGGGGCAAGCGUUAUCCGGAUUAUGGGUGUAAAGGGUGCGUAGAUGGAGGAGCAAGUUGGUUGUGAAAUCCCUCGGCUCAACUGAGGAACUGCAACCAAAACUACUUCCCUUGAGUGUCGGAGAGGAAAGUGGAAUUCCUAGUGUAGCGGUGAAAUGCGUAGAUAUUAGGAGGAACACCAGUGGCGAAGGCGACUUUCUGGACGAUAACUGACAUUGAGGCACGAAAGUGUGGGGAGCAAACAGGAUUAGAUACAC